AUUGAACGCUGGCGGCGGGCCUAACACAUGCAAGUCGAACGAGUGGCGGACGGGUGAGUAAUGUCUGGGAAACUGCCCGAUGGAGGGGGGUAACUUCUGGAAACGGUAGCUAAUACCGCAUACCAUCGGAUGUGCCCAGAUGGGCUUAGCUAGUAGGUGGUGUAACGGCGCACCUAGGCGACGAUCCCUAGCUGGCCUGAGAGGAUGACCACACACACGGGAACUGAGACAGGGUCCAGACUCCUACGGGAGGCAGCAGGGGGGAAUAUGGCACAAUGGGCGCAAGCCUGAUGCAGCCAUGCCGCGUGUAUGAAGAAGGCCUUGGGGUUGUAAAGUACUUUCAGCGGGGAGGCGUUACUCGCAGAAGAAGCACCGGCUAACUCCUGGCCAGCAGCCGCGGAAUAC
rnacentral:rRNA from 1 species